rnacentral:misc_RNA from 1 species
GAUGAAGAACGCAGCGAAAUGCGAUACUUGGUGUGAAUUGCAGAAUCCCGUGAACCAUCGAGUCUUUGAACGCAAGUUGCGCCCGAAGCCAUUAGGCCGAGGGCACGCCUGCCUGGGCGUCACACGUCGUUGCCCCCCCAUCUACUCCUUCGGGAUUGCGGGGGGCGGAUGAUGGCCUCCCGUGCGCCUAGUCGCGCGGUUGGCAUAAAAACCAAGUCCUCGGCGACGCACGCCACGACAAUCGGUGGUUGCGAAACCUCGGUUGCCCGUCGUGUGCGGUCGUCGCGCAUCGAGGGCUCGAAAAAAUUGCCGGGCUCCGGCUCGGCUUUCAACGCGACCCCAGGUCAGGCGGGGUUACCCGCUGAAUUUAAGCAUAUCAAUAAGCGGAGGA